CUGGGUGUGGUUUUGAAACUUCUGUGAAUGAUGUGUAUGCCUUCGACUCAGUCCUUAACUUAAAGAGGGGAGGAGGAGCGUAUUAGUUGGAGCACAGUUUGAGCUUGGGGUUGCAUUGGAGCUAAGGAGCAACUUGUAUGAUCUGCUGUAUUCUCUGUUUAAGCUAUGGCUUUAGGAUCAUCACACUAAGGGCAUAUAAAGACAAUUGGGCUUUAAAUCAAUCCCAAGUGAAAGCUGGCAGUACUUUUGUUAAUGAUCUCAGAGUUUUAGAAGACUUCCAACAUGCACACCAUCCCAAGGGUCCUGGACUUCCUGACGGGCUGACCCUAAGUGGUGAAGGUAGGCAACGACACCUCCGCCACGCUGAUCCUCAACACAGGGGCCCCUGUACUUCCUGUUCACCCAUGACUAUGUGGC
rnacentral:lncRNA from 1 species